GAAGUGCAUUUCUUUUUUUUUUUCACAGGAGGAGACAAGAAAGCCACCAGGUUUAAGAGAGGAAAAUGCUAAGAUGUCCUUGUUAACAUCUGGACCAAAGGAAGAGGAAGAGUCAUCACCUUGGGAUUCAGAUUCGGAGGAGGAGACAACAAAGCCAGCAGGUUUCAGAGAGGAAAAU